rnacentral:lncRNA from 1 species
UGCGGCUUUAGAUGGAGCUGGUACUAAGACCCAGGACUUCUGGGGCUUGAAGACCCUGGGUCUGCGGGAAGCCCCUGCUGAGCGUCCCUCGCCUACCCCGUGGCCAGUGGGUGAGUAGGGCUAGAUCUCCGCCCAUCUAGGUCCCCUUCUGCUCCAGCUCCAGCGUCUGACAUCCCAAGGAAGGAACGCAGGGUGGGGGCAUUUGAGCCGGACCUGAGCCAUCCUCAUGGUUUUCAAAAAGUAGCCUUAUUGUGGUGUAAUUGACAGACGGACAAACUUAGCCUUCCGUUCUGUUGGUCUGUGAUGACCGUUUCCACGUCCUGCUUUCUGAGAGCAUUUGCCUGGUGUAGACGUCCCCGUUUUCAGCGGUUAUGCGUCCCUCUAGUUUCGGUGAUGCCCUGAGGUUUACUUCCUGCAUUUUUAAGCCCACGUUUCCCCAGCACUCAUGUGUGGCCAGCGUCUGAUUCUUCCUCCAGAGCAAGACAGGGAAGCCACUGCACUUCAGCUGCCUUCACAAGUCUCCUCUGCCACCCCCGCUGAGGCCGUCUGGAAGUUUAAUUCUAGGCUAUUAUUAAAUUUCUAUAAAAUUGUUUCAACUUUACUGAGAUAUAAUUCACAAAUAGGAAUUGUGUAUAGUUAAGGUGUAUGACUUGAUGUUCUGAUACACGCUGUGAAUGAUCACUGCAGUCAAGCUAUUUCACAUGCUCACACCUCACAGUGACUACCAAGUUGGUGAAAAGAGUAACUGCGGUGUUUGCAAUUAGAAGCAAUUAUUUUUGCACCAACCUAAAAUAUUUUCUUUUUUUUUUUUUUUUUGUCGCCCAGCCUGGACUGCCGUGGUGAAAUCUUGGCUCACUGCAGCCUCUGCUUCCCAGGUUCAAUCAAUCUUGCCACCUCAGCCUCCCCAGUAGCUGGGACUAUGGGCACGUGCCACCAUGUCCAGCUAGUUUUUUUUGUUUUUUUUUUUUUUUGUAUUUUUAGUAGAGAUGGGGUUUCGCCAUGUUGCCCAGACUGGUCUUGAACUCCUGGCCUCAAGUGAUCCACCCACCGUCGGCCUCCCAAAGUGCUGGGAUUACAGGCAUGAGCCACCGCACCAGCUUCUUUUAUUUUCUUUGUGUGUGUUGAGAACACUUAAGAUCUAUCCUCUCAGCCCAUGUCCAGCAUCCAGUACAGCAUUGUUAACCAUGGCCACCUAGGACAGCGCUCCCCAGAAACUGAAUUUGCCAGCACCUUGAUCGUGGACUUCCAGCCUCCAGAACAGCGAGAAGAAUCGCUUCUAGGUUUUGACCAGCCGGCCUGUGGCAUUUUGCUACAACAGCCUGGGCAGCCUGCAGUGCUCUGUGCUUUGUUCUCUUUCAUUUUGUUUUGUUUUCUGUAAUUCACCUUUGAGAAACUCGUUCAGGAAGGAUGCAUGGGUGACAUUUUCUGCAUCCUCACAUUUUGUCACUGGGUGUGGCCGGGUCUGUGAGUCUAGACACAAAGCCAGUCACCUGGGGACGCUGCCACCUGAAGGCCUGCGUGGCCGGGUCUGUGACUGUAGACACAAAGCCAGUCACCUGGGGACGCUGCCACCUGAAGGCCUGCGUGGCCGGGUCUGUGACUCUAGACAAAAAGCCAGUCACCUGGGAACUCUGGGACACCCUCUUCUCUCACCCAUUGCUGUGGGGAAGCCUGGGGAUGGGUUUUCUUGUUUUGGUUUUUUAUCAUGUUGGUGUUUUGUUUUGUUUUUUUUUUGAGAUGGAGUUUCCCUCUUGUCUCCCAGGCUAGAGUGCAAUGGCGUGAUCUCGGCUCACUGCAACCUCCGCCUCCUGGGUUCAAGCGAUUCUCCUGCCUCAGCCUCCUGAGUAGCUGGGAUUACAGGCAUGCACCACCACGCCUGGCUAAUUUUUGUAUUUUUAGUAGAGACGGGGUUUCACCAUGUUGGUCAGGCUGGUCCCGAACUCCUGACUUCAGGUGAUCCACGCACCUCGGCCUCCCAAAGUGCUGAGAUUACAAGCAUGAGCCAUCGCACCCAGCCCAUAGUGGUUUUUAAAUCUUUCCUUUUGCCCUCAUUGUUCUAAAAUUUUAUGAAGAUGAAGACAUAUCUCGUGUCUCAUUCACGGAGAGCCGAUUCUGUAACAGCCGCUGCUCUGGGCGCCGGGAGAAACCGUGAGGAGCAGGCAGAGCUUCCGUCGCGGGGCCCACAGGGCCCAGGUGUGCAUUAUUUCCCUCCCAUCAAUCCUGUUCUUCUUCUGAAACUCUCAGUGUGCAGAUGUUGGAAUGUCUGGCUUCGUCCUCCAUUUCCUUUUUUUUUUUUUUCAUACUUUCCCUCUAUCUCGCUCUGCUGUGUACAAAAAAACUUGGGCAUUUUCAAGUACAAAGCAAAGGAAGCAAUAAAGCAUCCCCAGAUAUUUGAGGAAAGCUGACAUCACAAAGUGGAGAAUUCCUUGACUGUGUGUUCCAGGCACAAGUUCGUUCUUCAGCCUUUUCUUCCUGUUAUUCACCCCAUCACUUUUUAAUUUUUUUUGGAUGUCACAUUUUUCAUAUUUAUAUUUUCAGUUCCGUUUUUAAGGCUGUAUCUUCUCUAUGGAUAAAUAAACCUGUGAAGACGUA